UUUCAUGAUGAUCACUUCUGUGCCUCGGCACAGCUGGAAAUUACCGUCUGAGGCAACUGCUCUUGACGAAAAAAACUGGCUGUAUCUGAUA
rnacentral:snoRNA from 1 species